UUUUAGCAUGAGAUUGUUUCAGUAAUUCUGAAAUGACGAUUCAAAAGCUGUGAUAGAUAUUUAGUUAGCCUUAGAAGUGAGGUUUUGGUAUGUUGACAUUACAUGAAGCCACGAAUAAAGGCAUUCUGGUAGAUUUCUGAAUAUCAAAGCUAUUCAAAAAGCCAUCACUCAUUCUCACCAUCUGGCACUCACUUAAAUUCCUCUUCUUCUUUUCUGACAGAGCAAAAUGAUACAGCAAGACUGCCAGGAGAAAGCUAAAACUGCAGUCGAGGAGAAUGUCUAUUAGCUGGAGGGUCCCUAUCAGACAUUUAGAAAUGCUCAAGACCAUCAGGCGUUCUCUUGAGCUUUUACAUGGCACAGAGAGCUGGCUGUAUGAAGAGUGAGCAGACGUACAUUAACAAGCUGGAAGAAAUACACAGCCUGGGUAAGCCUGUCCAAAACAGAUACCAGGAGUCCAUACGGAGAAUUAAAUGUUUGAGGAGCUGUCAGCCAAAAUAAAAAGCUACAUGAUUAUUAUGGAGGGGUGUAAGAAUGGAGUAAGAAUAAGUUUUCUCUCUCAUUUUCUUCAUCAUAUAUCACGUCUUAUUUGGAACAAUCAUGCUCUGCAAGGCUCUUUACAGCACAGGGAGGCAUUGUUUUAUACAUUAUAAUGGAUCUCAUGCAGUUACACAGUCAGAUUUCAGCCAUCAGUCUCUUACAACUGACUAUAAAUAGUGUCUGCUUUUACAUUUAUUCAUUAAGCAUAAGCUUUUAUCCAAAGCGCCUUAUAAAUGAGGAAUGCAACAACACAGUAAUUCAUCCUAAGGAGACUGUAAUAUCAGAAGUGCUGCAAUACUUUCUUUUAAAUUCCUAAACUGACUAAAAAUUGUAUUCUCAUAAAUGGUUGUAUGGUCUCAUAAAUUGUGUUGUAUUUAAUGGAAUACUAUACUUAAUGUAAAGAAUUUAUUGUCAGUAACUAGGUAUGCACAUAAUGGUUAUGUAUCAUUUAAUUGUACAUGCUCAUUUACUUUAUUUUUACAUGUAUAUUUUUACCUUGCUGUAAUCUAUGUUCACCAGGGUUAUUAAGUAGAAAAGAAAAAAAAUCCCUUCUUGAAAUAAAAUAAAUAUUAGCUGAAAAAAAAAAAAAAUACUAACACAUCACUGUGAAAAACCAUGUUAUACUUUCGUAAUGCAUUUAAGUAUACUGUUUAUAUAGAUACGUUUUAAUAUAUAUUGCAAACUUUUUCUCUCAGUGUGACAGUUACUGUCAUAUCAAUGCCGUGGACAUGGACAAGGUCAGAGUGUGUGUUGAAGAUUCACAAGUGUGGAUGACAAAUGCACACUUGAUCAGUAACCUGCCAUACACAGCGCUCAGAUGAAGCAGAAAUUACAGGUGAAGAAAGACUAAAAGCUUCACAAACACAUAUCACGGUGGGAGACACAUCUCAGAAUAACCUUAUUUGUAAUCACCAUUGAUUUCUAUGUCCGAGCAGCCACAGGGGGGUGGUGUUAGCUGUCUAUGUCAUCACUCAACUUUGAAAUGCUUUUAAAAAAAAGUUUUUUUUUUUUUUUUUUUUUUACUGUGAUACAUUUCUCUCUUUCGUAAUCCAGUUCUAAAUAUAUUUAAGCAUCUGUAAAAUUAAUUAUCGAUUGAUUGCCAUUUAAUUUACAGAUUUUAGUUUAUAUUUUAUUUUUUUAAUCACACACCAGGAUUUUUUAAUUAAUUAAUUUAGAAAG